rnacentral:rRNA from 1 species
UAAGGGCGCACGGUGGAUGCCUUGGCACUAGAAGCCGAUGAAGGACGUUACUAACGACGAUAUGCUUUGGGGAGCUGUAAGUAAGCUUUGAUCCAGAGAUUUCCGAAUGGGGAAACCCAGCAUGAGUUAUGUCAUGUUAUCGAUAUGUGAAUACAUAGCAUAUCAGAAGGCACACCCGGAGAACUGAAACAUCUUAGUACCCGGAGGAAGAGAAAGAAAAUUCGAUUCCCUUAGUAGCGGCGAGCGAAACGGGAAGAGCCCAAACCAACAAGCUUGCUUGUUGGGGUUGUAGGACACUCUAUACGGAGUUACAAAGGACGACAUUAGACGAAUCAUCUGGAAAGAUGAAUCAAAGAAGGUAAUAAUCCUGUAGUCGAAAAUGUUGUCUCUCUUGAGUGGAUCCUGAGUACGACGGAGCACGUGAAAUUCCGUCGGAAUCUGGGAGGACCAUCUCCUAAGGCUAAAUACUCUCUAGUGACCGAUAGUGAACCAGUACCGUGAGGGAAAGGUGAAAAGCACCCCGGAAGGGGAGUGAAAUAGAACCUGAAACCGUGUGCUUACAAGUAGUCAGAGCCCGUUAAUGGGUGAUGGCGUGCCUUUUGUAGAAUGAACCGGCGAGUUACGAUUUGAUGCAAGGUUAAGCAGUAAAUGUGGAGCCGUAGCGAAAGCGAGUCUGAAUAGGGCGUUUAGUAUUUGGUCGUAGACCCGAAACCAGGUGAUCUACCCUUGGUCAGGUUGAAGUUCAGGUAACACUGAAUGGAGGACCGAACCGACUUACGUUGAAAAGUGAGCGGAUGAACUGAGGGUAGCGGAGAAAUUCCAAUCGAACCUGGAGAUAGCUGGUUCUCUCCGAAAUAGCUUUAGGGCUAGCCUCAAGUGAUGAUUAUUGGAGGUAGAGCACUGUUUGGACGAGGGGCCCCUCUCGGGUUACCGAAUUCAGACAAACUCCGAAUGCCAAUUAAUUUAACUUGGGAGUCAGAACAUGGGUGAUAAGGUCCGUGUUCGAAAGGGAAACAGCCCAGACCACCAGCUAAGGUCCCAAAAUAUAUGUUAAGUGGAAAAGGAUGUGGCGUUGCCCAGACAACUAGGAUGUUGGCUUAGAAGCAGCCAUCA